GCUGGGUGUUGUGGUGCACACCUGUAAUCCCAGCAACUCAGGAGGCUGAGGUAGAAGGAUCCCAAGUUCAGAGUCAGGCUCAGCAAUUUAGGGAGGUCCUAAGCAGCUUAGUGAGACCUUGUCUCAA
rnacentral:sRNA from 1 species